rnacentral:rRNA from 1 species
AUGGGGUCGACGAGGCUGGAGAAGGUGGUGUUCGCGCUGAACGGGCGGCGGUACGAGGUGGCCGGCGCCGACGUGCACCCCGGGACCACGCUGCUCGAGUUCAUCCGCACCCGGACGCCAUUCACCGGCACCAAGCUCGGCUGCGGCGAAGGCGGAUGUGGAGCUUGUGUAGUCCUUAUAGCAACUUACAAUCCAACAAAAGCUGAGGUCACUGAAUUCUCUGCAAGUUCAUGCCUGACUCUGCUCUACAACAUAAAUCUUUGCUCAGUCAUCACCACCGAAGGCCUGGGAAAUACGAAAGAUGGCUUCCAUUCUAUCCAGAAGAGGAUGUCUGGGUUCCAUGCUUCCCAGUGUGGCUUCUGCACUCCUGGCAUGUGCAUGUCUAUUUUCACCUCUCUUGCAAAUGCCGACAAAUCCAACAAGCCUGAACCACAAAAAGGGUUCUCAAAGCUGACGGUGUCCGAAGCGGAAAGGGCUUUCUCAGGCAACAUGUGUAGAUGUACCGGUUACAGGCCAAUUGUCGACGCCUGCAAAAGUUUUGCUUCAGAUGUCGACCUGGAGGAUUUGGGCCUCAAUGUAUUCUGGAAGAAAGGCGAUAAGCACGCCGAUGUUAGCAAGUUGCCAGCUUACACUCUUGGCGGCGGAGUCUGCACUUUCCCGGACUUCCUGAAAUCCGAGAUAAAAUCUUCGCUUCAUCAUCUAAAUGAUGAUUCGGUUGUUACGGUCUCCAGCGAGGGUUGGUAUCAUCCUAAAAGCAUCGAGCAAUAUUAUGAUUUACUGAACUCUGGCUUGUUCAGUGACUGCACAGUUAAAGUGGUUGUUGCGAACACAAGUUCUGGUGUAAAGGGAUACAAGGAUCAGGAUCUAUAUAACAAGUAUAUUGACAUCAGUGACAUUCCAGAGCUUUCAGCUAUUUGGAAGAAAGACAGUGGCAUUGAAAUUGGAGCAGCUACACCAAUUUCUAAGACCAUCGAGAUACUUGAGCAAGAAGCCGGGUCUAAAUCAUGUGCAAAUGGAAGUGUGGUUUUCAGAAAACUCACCGAGCACAUGAGCAAGGUAGCUACACCGUUUGUCCGUAACACAGCAAGCAUUGGCGGGAACAUAAUUCUAGCACAGAAAUACCCUUUUCCAUCGGACAUCGCGACCAUACUUCUCGGUGUUGCUUCAACUGUUCGUCUUCAGGUUUAUUCAAAAACACUAGAGGUUACUUUGGAAGAGUUUCUGGAGCUGCCUCCUAGUGAUCCCAGUACAUUGCUCCUGAGCAUAUUUAUUCCACAUUGGGCUUCAGAUUCUCAGAAAGAAAGUAAGGUGAUCUUUGAAACUUACCGAGCAGCGCCGCGCCCUCUUGGCAAUGCGGUUUCAUAUAUUAACUCUGCAAUGCUGGGCCAUGUCUCCCAGAAAUCAUGUGGUGAUCUUGUGCUGAGUAACCUACACAUGGCCUUUGGUGCCUAUGGGACCGAACAUGCCAUUAGAGCAACAAAAGUUGAACAACACCUGAAUGGAAAAGUGCUCACUCCAUCUGUUGUGCUUGAAGCAGUUCGGUUACUUAGAGAAACAAUUGUACCAAUGAAAGGAACAUCACAUCCUGAAUACAGAGUCAGUGUGGCCGUUGGAUUUCUCUUCAGUUUCCUGUCUCCAUUUGCUAAAGGAAUCAAAGGGCCUGGAAACACUCUGAGCAUUGGUUCUGCUAGUUCUUCAAAUACAGAUGAUCCCUGUAACCUUCCAUUGUCUUCACGUCGAGAAACAAUUUCCAGUGAUGAUCAUAAACCAGUUGGUGAGCCGAUUAAAAAGUACGCAGUUGAGCUUCAAACUUCUGGGGAGGCAGUAUAUGUAGAUGAUAUUCCUGCUCCAAAAAAUUGCCUCUAUGGAGAGUUUAUUUACAGCACACAGCCUCUUGCAUAUGUCAAGAAUAUCAAAUUCAAGCCAUCUUUAGCAUCAGAGAAGGUCCUCACGGUUGUUUCCGCGAAGGAUAUUCCAAGUGGAGGGCAAAAUAUUGGAUCAAGCUUCUUGUUUGGGGAUGAACCACUUUUUGGUUCUCCUGUCGCUGAGUAUGCUGGGCAAGCCCUUGGUGUCGUGAUUGCAGAGACUCAGAGAUAUGCCAACUUGGCAGGCAAACAGGUCGUUGUUGAAUAUGACACAAAAGAUUUGAAGCCACCAAUCUUAACUGUAGAACAGGCAGUACAGAACAAUAGUUAUUUCGAAGUUCCUCCUGAGAGGUAUCCAAAACAAGUUGGUGAUUUUUCGAAGGGCAUGGCGGAAGCUGAUCACAAGAUCCUCGCAACAGAAGUGAAACUUGCCUCUCAGUACUACUUCUAUAUGGAAACACAAACAGCAUUGGCGAUUCCAGAUGAAGAUAACACUCUUGUAGUCUACAGUUCAUCACAAUACCCUGAGCUUGCGCAGAGUGUCAUAGCGAGGUGCCUCGGUAUUCCAUUCAGCAAUGUGCGUGUCAUUACAAGAAGGGUUGGAGGAGGCUUUGGUGGGAAGACAUUCAGAUCAUACACUGUAGCAACGGCAGCUGCGCUUUGUGCCUUCAAGUUACGUCGUCCGGUGCGGAUGUAUCUCAACCGCAGUACUGACAUGAUCAUGAUCGGGGGUCGGCACCCAAUAAAAGCAUAUUACACUGUUGGUUUCAAGUCCAAUGGAAGAAUCACAGCCUUGCACCUGGACAUUCUGAUCAACGCUGGGAUUUCUCCAGAUGCGAGCCCCCUAAUUCCAGACUAUAUGAUGUCAGGCUUGAAAAAAUACAACUGGGGUGCUCUCUCGUUUGACAUCAAGGUCUGUAAGACAAACAACACAUCCAAGUCAACAAUGCGUGCUCCUGGAGAUACGCAGGGAUCUUUUAUCGCUGAAGCUAUCAUCGAGCAUGUCGCUUCGGUGUUGUCGCUUGAUGCUAAUAAUGUCAGGCAGAAGAAUUUCCACACCUAUGACAGUCUUGUGUUGUUCUAUCCAGAAAGCGCAGGCGAAGCAUCGACGUACACAUUGCAUUCUAUUUUCAAUAGAUUACUCGCGACGUCAAGCUACCUGCAUCGAGCUGAAUCCAUCAAGCAUUUUAACAACCGCAACAAGUGGCGGAAGAGGGGUAUCUCUUGUGUGCCCCUCAUCUUCAAGGUGGCACCAAGGCCAGCUCCUGGAAGAGUUUCUGUGCUCAACGAUGGUUCCAUUGUGGUUGAGGUUGGAGGUAUUGAAGUUGGGCAGGGACUGUGGACCAAAGUACAGCAGAUGACGGUUUUCGCGUUGGGACAGUUAUGGCCUGAUGGAUCUGAAUGCCUUCUUGAUAGGGUGCGUCUUCUUCAGGCUGACACGCUGAACUUGAUCCAAGGCGGACUCACUGCUGGCAGCACUUCGUCUGAAUCUAGCUGUGCAGCAACCCUUGAGGCCUGCAACAUGCUGGUUGACAGAUUAAAGCCGGUCAUGAAGAAGCUCAAGCAGCAAUCUGGUGGUGCUGUUUCAUGGGAUGCUUUGAUUGCUCAGGCCAUUAAGGAUAAUGUUAAUUUGUCCUCAAGUGCAUACUGGGUACCUGGCCAAGAAUCCAGCACCUAUCUGAACUAUGGAGCUGGUAUAAGUGAGGUAGAGAUUGAUGUUCUUACAGGAGCUAUUACUUUACUACGGAGCGACCUUGUGUAUGACUGUGGAAAGAGUUUGAACCCUGCAGUGGACUUGGGCCAGAUUGAAGGCUCCUUCAUACAAGGAAUUGGUUUCUUCAUAAACGAAGAACACGAAACAAAUGCCGAUGGCCUGGUUGUGAGUGACAGCACAUGGGUCUACAAGAUCCCGAGCGUAGACACUAUCCCGAAGCAGUUCAACGCCGAGGUGCUCAACAGUGGGUACCAUAAGAACCGCGUUCUUUCAUCGAAAGCCUCUGGGGAACCUGCCCUGGUUCUCGCAGCAUCGGUCCAUUGUGCGGUGAGAGAAGCCAUCAGGGCAGCGAGGAAGGAGUUUGGAAGCUCAGAGCUCACGUUCCAGCUCGACGUCCCUGCCCCAAUGACCCAUGUGAAGGAAAUGUGUGGUUUGGACGUUGUGGAUAAGUACCUAGAAAGCCUAUCUGAACAUCAGUCUCGAGCUGCGGCGUGA